CCUACGCGUGGCAGCAGUGAGGAAUAUUGGUCAAUGGACGAGAGUCUGAACCAGCCAAUUAGCGUGAAGGAUGACUGCCCUCUGGGUUGUAAACUUCUUUUAUAUGGGAAUAAAAUGUUCCACGUGUGGGAUUUUGUAUGUACCCUAUGAAUAAGCAUCGGCUAACUCCGUGCCAGCAGCCGCGGUAAUACGGAGGAUCCGAGCGUUAUACGGAUUUAGUGGGUUUAAAGGGAGCGUAGGUGGAUUGUUAAGUCAGUUGUGAAAGUUUGCGGCUCAACCGUAAAAUUGCAGUUGAAACUGGCAGUCUUGAGUACAGGAGAGGUGGGCGGAAUUCGUGGUGUAGCGGUGAAAUGCUUAGAUAUCACGAAGAACUCCGAUUGCGAAGGCAGUUCACUGGACUGCAACUGACACUGAGGCUCGAAAGUGUGGGUAUCAAACAGGAUUAGAUACCCUAGUAGUC
rnacentral:rRNA from 1 species